AAUGAACUAAAACUGGAGGACUUCCUCGCCCAGAUCGAUCCGAAAUUUUAACUGAUUCCUCUCCUGCAACGUUCCCUCCGGAUAGUAUCACUUUUUAAGGUGGAAAACGGUGCACCGUAGGGCAGAAAUGAAAGUUGGGUGGUUGUUUGCCCCUAUAUGAAGAAGAACCUUACUCUGAUCACCCUGAGCAUCUGAUUUACUGUGCAGGGCCCCUCUGACUGCAGUCUACCUAUGUCAGCUUGAGUGAGGACUGCUGACUACCAUGACAAACUUCCUGGCUUUGUAAACAGCAAGGCCCCAAGACAGAAGUAAUCUCAGGCUGAAGAUGAUCCUUGCAGUUUCAAUUUCCUGAUUCCAGUACCAUGGCUAUCAAAAGCAACACUUCUGGAAAACUCUCAGACGUCAUCUUGUUUAUAUAAAUGUAGAAAAUUAUUUCAGAAAUUUCCAUCAAUUAAAAAACCUAUGCAAAACAAUAUUCU